UAUGAAUUGUAUUUUAUUUUCAAGAGUCAAGACUUUCCUAAAGGGUCGUGCUUGUUGAAUUGAUAGUUAUUCUAAUUCUAACUAUGCAGGAUUUUACUCUUGCAAGCUUCUUUAAAAACUGCAAAGAAUUAAACCUUGCUAGAAAUUUUCAAUUUCCAACCUUAAUAUAGGUGCUAAUUUUGAUAUAUGUUCAAUUUAUCUGUUAAUUGCAGGCUUGUAGUUAGAAACUUGAUAUUUUGAUAUAUGGCUUUGUUUGCAGUUGAUCCACUUUUAUUUGGAAAAUCCACUUGUCAACCUUUUCUAGUCUCAUUCUUCAUUACUCAGUUUCAUUAACAGAAAAUUGUUGAUUGACUGGCAGCAAGCUUCAAGAGAGAUAAGUGCCAUCGUCAGACUAAUAGUGUUGAUUGCGGAUAUUAUGUGAUGAAGUUCAUGAAAGAUAUCAUCACUCACCAACAACUUGUGAUCCCAACGAAAUGUUUUGAAGAUUGUCAGUUCGUUUCCUACAAUGAAGAGCAAUUGCGUGAAGUUAAAGAUGAGUGGGCCGCUUAUGUUUUUUACAAUUGUUUUUAGUAUUUAAUCUAUUGGAUAGUUAUCUAUGAGAUGGUGGUAGAUGAAGUUAAGGACGUGGUUGAGAUAUUACGCACUUUAGAAAUUGCUUCGAAUUUAUGAAGCUUUUGAUAUUUAGAUAUAUUGGUUUUGAUAUGCUGAAGUUCAGAAAAUGUUUAUUUUAUGGCUGACUUGAUAUGCUGAAGUUCAGAAAAUGUUGAUCUUUUUUGUUUGGAAGACUCAAAUGGGGAGAGGGUCCUUAUG